rnacentral:lncRNA from 1 species
UCAGAUGGAGUGAAUAUGAUGAUUCUGUGAAGGUUUAUUGCAACAUGACUUUUUCAGCACAGCAACAGGAAAAUUUGACUCUGGGUCUGUUCUACAAAAUUAAAGCUUUCUCAGCACAAAAAACAGCAUAGACUGUGAGUGAUGGCGGCCAUCUUGGUUCAUGUGUAAAGACUGAAUUUCAGUGACUACCAACGGCUAUUUCUUAGAAUGUGGCACUUACCCUGGGUUCAGGCUGUGGUCCUUCUACUGCCCAUGAAUGAAUUGCUCCAUCUGAACAUUCGGGAACAGGCUCAAAGCCAGCUGCACUACGAGGAGCACCUCCACAAUCACAACAGAUCAUCAAAAAUGGGACCACUGGUGGUGGAGGGAUAGUAAUACUAGAGUUAGCACUGGGUGCAAAUAAAAAACAAAGUCGUGGGAUGCUCGUGAAUUAAGAAACAACCAAAAAUGCCAAAUAUUGAGACUCUUGAAAUCAAAUUAAGUAUGAUCUGAGAUUAAGAACUUCUGAGAAGAAUUUAAGCAUGAACAUAUAUAUUGACAUGAAGUCCACUUACA